CUACGGAGAGUUUGAUUCUGGCUCAGAACGAACGCUGGCGGCGUGGUUAAGACAUGCAAGUCGAGCGGGAAUCUGCGGGUAGCAAUAUUCGUGGGUUUCAGCGGCGAACGGGUGCGUAACACGUGGGCAACCUACCUGAAAGAGUGGAAUAACUAGCCGAAAGGUUAGCUAAUGCCGCAUGUGAUCCAGAGAGUUCGCUCUUUGGAUUAAAGCUGGGGAUCGUAAGACCUGGCGCUUUUAGAUGGGCCCGCGGCCUAUCAGCUAGUUGGCGAGGUAACGGCUCACCAAGGCUUACGGGUAGCUGGUCUGAGAGGACGACCAGCCACACGGGAACUGAGACACGGUCCCGACACCUACGGGUGGCAGCAGUUUCGAAUUUUUCGCAAUGGGCGAAAGCCUGACGGAGCGACGCCGCGUGGGGGAUGAAGGUCUUCGGAUUGUAAACCCCUGUCAGCUGGGAACAAGGUCUCGUGGUGAAUAGCCAUGAGAUUUGAUAGUACCGGCAGAGGAAGCCGUGGCUAACUCUGUGCCAGCAGCCGCGGUAAUUCAGAGACGGCAAGCGUUGUUCGGAUUCACUGGGCGUAAAGGGUCCGCAGGUGGCGAGGUAAGUCUGACGUGAAAUCCCGCGGCUUAACCGCGGAACUGCGUCGGAUACUGUCUUGCUAGAGGACGGCAGAGGAGACUGGAAUUCACGGUGUAGCGGUCUUCCGUGCCGGAGCUAACGCGUUAAGUAAGCCGCCUGGGGAGUACGGCCGCAAGGUUAAAACUCAAAGAAAUUGACGGGGGCCCGCACAAGCGGUGGAGUAUGUGGCUCAAUUCGAUGCAACGCGAAGAACCUUACCUGGGUUUGACAUGCACCAUGAAAGCCGAUGAAAGUCGGUGACGGCCCGAAAGGGUGCUGGGGGUGCACAGGUGCUGCAUGGCUGUCGUCAGCUCGUGCCGUGAGGUGUUCGGUUAAGUCCGGUAACGAGCGCAACCCCUAUGUCCUGUUGCGAAGGCCGCAAGGCACUGCACUCUGGACAGACUGCCCUGUUUCAACGGGGAGGAAGGUGGGGAUGACGUCAAGUCCGUAUGGCCCUUACACCCAGGGCUGCACACGUACUACAAUGCACGGUACAAUGGGAAGCAAUACCGCGAGGUGGAGCAAAUCCUCUAAAACCGUGCUCAGUUCAGAUCGUAGGCUGCAACUCGCCUACGUGAAGCUGGAAUCGCUAGUAAUGGCGCAUCAGCUACGGCGCCGUGAAUACGUUCCCGGGCCUUGUACACACCGCCCGUCACAUCAUGAAAGCCCCUUGUUCCCGAAGUCAUACCAGCUAACCGUAAGGAAGCGGGUGCCUAAGGAAUGAGUGGUGAUUGGGAUGAAGUCGUAACAAGGUAGCCGUAGGGGAACCUGCGGCUGGAUCACCUCCUUUCUAAGGAGU
rnacentral:rRNA from 1 species